ensembl:lncRNA
GAGAGAACAUCUUUGAAAUGUUCUCCCUUUCACUGCUGUUGCAGUAUCCUGUUUUGGAUUCUAGACAAUAAAGGAACAACACUGGUUUUAAAUAUUUCAUUCCCCAGAAGGUUCAUACAAGCACAGGGUGUGCAAAGCUGAGGCCCUGUGUGUGGCCCUGCCCACAGCUUGCCAUGCUUGCAUGACAAGAGCAGAAUACCAGUGCGUGUUUAGAAAGAAGUCUUUCCAGGAGAAAAAUUGGUUCUUAGUGGGCAGAAACAGAUGUGGAUGACUUUGAAAACUGGCAAAGGGACAGUGAAUUGGACUCUGCAACAGGAAUGGGAUGCAGAACAGUGCAACAGAGUGUCCUGCAGCAAAACGAGACGGACCUUCAUGCAGUGUCAGCUCCAGCACUGGUGAGGACUGUUUGCAUUCAGAGAAGCAAUAUUCAACAUUUGGUGUUUCAAUACCUGAAGUUGUGACCACUGAAAACUUGGAGGAGCUGCUUCACUGAGCACGGAGCUCGUGACGAGAGGCCUGAAAGCAGGAAUUCAGAGCUCCUACUAACAAAUGGAAAAGAAACUUUGGAGUGCGGACCUAAGUAAUAGAAUCAUCAAAUCAUUUAGUUUGGAAAAGACCACUGAGAUCAUCUAGUCCAACCAUCAACCCAUCCCCACCAUGGCCACUAACCAUGUCCCUCAGUGCUACAUCUACACAUUCCUUGAACACCUCCAGGAAGUGACUUCACCACCUCCCUGGGCAGCCUGUGCCAAUGCAUCACCACUCCUGAGAAGAAAAUUUUCAUAAUAUCCAACCUGAACCUCCCCUGGCACAAUGUAAGGCCAUUCUGUCUUGACUUAUCGCUGUAACCUGGGAGAAGAGGCUGACCCUCACCCCAUCACAACCUCCCUUCAGGAAGUUGUAGAGAGUAAUAAUGUCUCUCCUGAGACUCAAGUCAUGGGUAGGACAACCCAACCUACAAAGAUAAAAGUGAACAUCACAAUUAUUUACCAUAUUUACAAUGACUUUAGACAGAAAUCUGAGUCAAAUCAACCCAUGGAAUUGCUUUGCUUCUAAAACUUAAUAUACAUUACAGUUAAACCACAAUAGUAAAAUCCCCACUAAACAUGAGGAAAGGGAAAUGGCAAGCUGACUGCAGUAAGAUGUAAAAGCUUGUCUGAACUCAGAUGUGCCCUAUGUGGUUCCUGGACACAGGGCAGUUUCCAUGAAAUGCCCCACAUCUGACCCUUGGACAAAAUGUCACCUCAUCUAAUCUGCCUGGUGGGACCAAGCCCAGACUGUGCUAACCCCCUAGAUGUGCCUAAAGAUGGGUUGAGAGAAGAACUCUGAGUGCCUGUAUCUAGGAACACUCCUUCAAAGUGUUUAAUUUCCUAGAAUUGUAAAGUCAUUUGAGCUGGAAGGGACCCUUAAAGACCAUCUAUUCCAAGUCCCCUGCAAUGAACAGGGACACUUACAGCUAGAUCAGGUGCUCAGAGCCCCAUCCAGCCUGACCUUGAAUGUCUCCAGAGACAGAGCAUCCAUCACCUCUCCAGGCAACUUUUGCCACUGCCUCGCCACUCUUGUUAUAAGAAAACUUUUUCCUUAUAUCCAAUCGAAACCUCCCCUCUUCUAGUUUGAAACCAUUUCCCUUUGUUCUGUCACAGCAGACCCUGCUAAAGAGUCUGUCCCCUUCUUUCUUACAGAUCCCCUUUAGAUAUUGAAAGGCCACUCUCAAAUAUCCACAAAGAGAGGGGAAACUUUCUCCUCUCCAGGCUGAACAGCCCCAGCUCUCUCGGUCUGUCCUCAUAGGAGAGGUGUUCCAUCUCCAGGAUCACUGUUGUGGCCAUCCUCUGGAUGUGCUCCAACAGGUCUGUGUCUCUCUUGUACUGUGGACUGCACAUCUGGAUGCAGUACUCCAGGUGAAGUCUUACCAACACAGAGCAGAGAGGAAAAUUUCUAGUCUUCACAUAUUGUAAGUAUUAAUAAGGGAAUUUCCUAGUAUUAGCACAACAAAAGAGGAAAUAUUAAAAUAAUAGCUGAUUAUGUGUGUGUAUGGGUAAUGCAGUCAUGAAAAACCCUUCAAGUCUAACGUUUUGUUGUCUCUCUAAGUACAUGCUCUUGAUUUUUGCAGUCAUUCGCUUUAACUACAGUCACAAGAACCUAGAACAGAGAGAAUGAAGUUCUGGACAGCAAAUAAGGAAGUAUUUGUAGUGAGUGUUGGCAGAACUGACACCACACCAGGUCACAGCCAUGUAUUACAGUCCAGCAUCCCUGGGGCAAGACUCCAACAGCAAACUGGAAAGAUGCAGAUAGUUCAGCUUCCUGAAGCUGGCCCCAGUCCCACCACUCCCUGAACCCUGUCCAGCCCAGCUUCUGCCUAUGCUGCUACCCCUGGGGCCCAUCCAUCAGCAGGUUGUGUCCUCAUCACCCACCUCCUGCCUCCAGCUGCCCUCCUGCUGCCCCUCCCUCGCCAUGAGUCACAUCCUUCCUUCCUCCGCCUCUGUUUUCCCUCUGGCCUCAGCCCCAAUCUAUUUGAGCCAAUAUCCUUUCCUCCACCAUCAAUGAGCUUCAGCCUUCUUGGCAUUCUUUUCCUCUCCUUCUCUUUCCUUUGCCUCUUGAGGGGCUCGCACUGCAGAGCAGUCCAUUCUGGCUGUGCGUCCCGGCCCCAGCCCUGAGCCACACAGUGGUCAGUGCCCUCCCUGUCAUCAGGGCAGCUGGAGUGGGACCAGAGGAAGGAGAAUGCUUGGCAACCAUGCUGAGAAAAUGGAAGUCCCCACCCAACAAGAACAAACCUCUCCUCUCUCCCGCUGGUGUUUAGAAAUGGGAAAAAUUUGGACAGAUGUUCACGGGGCAGAAAAAGUGCAGCUCAGAAGCAGAAUGUUUUGUCAAAGGCUUGUUUCUCCAAGUCUUGCUCUCUGCAGUGCUAGAAAUGUUUGGGCAGCAAUGUUCAAAACAGACAGCAGCAGUAACAAAUGCUGCCUGAAGCAAAAAUCCAGCAUAGAAAUUUUUCUUAACUGAAUGGGCACAAUUCUACAAGAGCCUGAAAAACAGCAUGUAUGGGACUGUCAGCACUCAUUCCAUACAGAAGCACUCUCAUAAUAUAGGUAACAUGGGUGACCAGAGCCUAUCCAAUUUAAUGCUGAAUAGAUUAGCUGUUUCAAUACCACAUUUGAAAUGUUUAUACAAAUGCUGGGCUCUCACAUAAUAAAGUGGUUGUAUAUUUUUUUCCUUUUAAGCUGAUUCUUCCAUACCGAUGCUGUACCAUAGCCUAAAGUAAUUUAAAUGAUUGACUAGCAGAAUGUGCUAAUAGCUUUGAUUAGCUUCAUUUAUUUGCAUAUAAUUAUUUGCUAAUUUCUCUGCAGUAAUUAGAACUGUGGCACAUUGCUGACAUGACUUUUUUUAAACAAGAAUGCUUUCAGUAAUAUUCCAACCUGUUUUAUGAUUCCCGACCGAUGCCUUCCAUAAAGAAAUCAGUGUCAGGAAAGAUGUUUCUGAAACAAAUACACAACUCUUGAUUUUGAGCAGUCACUGAGCAGUCAUAGCAGGUUGUGCUGUGGCUGUAUAUGUUAAAAAUCCAGAAGACCAGGAAAUACUAAAGUGACCCAAAGUUCUGCACAAAGUCCCAAAUAGUUUGGAAGAAAACACUGGUAGAAAAUAAUGCAAUACUGUAAUAAAUGUAUUUCAGUUGAUAAUUCCAUUUGUGGUAUUUAGGUGCAUCUACUCAAGUUAGUAAAUUACUAAUUAUGCAUACUGCAUUUUUUCUUACCAACUUUGGAGGCUACUUAGUGUAUUUUCUUAUCUCUUGUUAACAUCAGGUUAAUGUAGAAUUCUAAACCCAGUUCAUAGAAUCAUAGAAUCCUUAGAGUUGGAAGGGACAUCUGAAGGCCAUCUAGUUCAGCUCCCCUACAAUGAACAGGGACACCACAAUUAGAUCAGGUUGUCAACCUUGCCUUCAAAGUCUCCAGGGAUGGGGCAUCAGUCAUAACUCUGGGCAACCUGUUCCAGUGCCUCACCACUCUCACUGUAAAAUACUUUUUCCUUAUAUCUAACCUAAAUCUGCCCUCUUUGAGCUUUAAGCCGUUUCCCCUUGUUCUAUUAUCAAAAACUGCUAAAGAAUCUGUCCUUUCUGUAGCUCCCCUGUAGGUACUGAAAGGCCGCUGUCAGGUCACCUUACAGCCUUCUCUUCUCCAGGCUGCGCAGCCCCAGCUUUCCCAGCCUGUCCUUGCAGGGGAGGUUUUCCACCCCUGGGAUCAUUUUUGUGCCCCUCCUCUGGACGCUCUCCAACAGGUCCACAUCUCUCCUGUACUGAGGACUCCACAUCUGGACACAGUACUGCAGGUGAGGUCUCACAGCACAGUAGAAUGGUAGGAUCACCUCCCUCACCCAGCUGGCCACCAGUUUGUGCCUGUGUUCCUGCAAGACAGAAGGAUAAAAGUCAAGGGCAAAGAAACUCUCUUCUGGAAAUCAUGACUGGACAAACAUAAACUUUCCUGGAUGCUUUGCCAGCUACCUGACAAUUUUAAAUAGAAGACUGAACAGGUGAAGAAACCAAUCAAAGUCAGCACUAAUGCUGCUGCCUAAACAGUUUAGCUGUCUUUGCUCCAUUUCUCCCACAGCUAUUGCUGACUGUGACUAUAGAUAAGUUGGCAAGGAUGGAGGUCACCAAAACAAGAAAUGCCUUCAUAAUUAAGGGCUCAAUAUGCUUCACAAAUACACCUUCUUCUGCACCUGCUGCCAAAGAGCUGUGGAUCUGUGAUAUCUUGUAAAAAUAAAUUAAGAAACCUGAAAGGCUCUCCUUGUAAUCUAAAUGUGGAAAUGAAGAUGUAGAAUGAGGAUGAAACUCCUAAUUACUCUCCCCAAGCUCAUACUUGCAGCAUAAUCAAAUCUGUCUACCGGGGCAAUCUGCACUUAAUCAAUUGAAGUGUGAUACAACCUUGCUCUUCACGAUACUGUGAAGCUAGGACUAAAAAAAGCCCUGUCAUUGUUAUGAGUGUAUUUUCAAGGCACAGAAUUAGCGAGCUCUGCUCUCCAAAAUGAGCCCCUCAACAUUUAAUUAACUGUAGUACAUGGAAAACAUUUGUUGUGGUUUGUGUCCAGCUAACAGCUGAUCCUGCCAACAACCAGGACUACACUGUCCUGAGAGCAGUCUGCCAUUGGGAUUCCUUGUUCCAACACACUUAUUUCUUGGUGAGAUGUGAAGUUCUCUAUUUGUUUUAAUGCAAACAGUGAGUUAUUCAGUAAGGAAGCAAAGCACUUUACAUUCUUGCCAUGUCUCAAAGCCUGAAGAAAAAACCCACUUUUUUCCCACUCUGUAAUUGAGGAUUUUCAUGAUAGCCGAGCUGAAAACCUAUGUAUAGUAUCAGUCUAUGCUUCAAGGCUUUGGACAAGUUUUGGCCUUUGGUUUGUUUGGACAAGUAGCAGAAUUCAGUUGGAUUUGUACUUAAAUGGCAAGGCAGCUCCUCUCAAUGUCACAUUGGGAAUUGGAGGCUUGAGAAGCAGGCUUUUCCCCAACGAUUCUCUUGCAUUUUAAUUACAGGGAUGUGAAAAAACAUCUGUCUGGGAUUUUAUGACUUCUGUUUCCAACUGAAAUUGGAAAAUGCAAGGACACACAAGAGGAGAAGAAGAUUUCAGCCUUCUGAACCUGUAGCUUUCUGGUUAGAAAUUUAAGUAACAAUUCUGUAUUUGCUCUUGUUCCAAUCAGAUGUGUUUAAUUCUGCCCUCAAAACUGUGACUCCUAUUCCCAUUUCCAAUCAACAUUUGAAAUGGUAGAAAUAUCAGCAGAAAACAGUCUGUUUGGCAGAUCUCAUGGAAGGCAAAGUCUGUCAGAUGAGUUAUCUUCUGCUUUCCAGUUUGGAUAAUUGCUUGCACCUGUGCAAACUGAGGGUCCCAGCCCCUGUCCUGCUGCUGCAAUGUGCCUUGUGCAGCAGAAGUGUGCAUGGCUGGAUAAAAGGUAAGGGAGAGCAUUUGGCCUAAUGGCUGUGUUUCUGCUGAAAACAAAAUCUGUCAAAUGGUAAAGACAAAAUGCUGCACUGAAAAAACCUUCACAUUUUCUGCAGCUGUUUAUUGGGAGGUCUGUUUUGUAAAGAAGGGAAGGCCAACUUUAUGCCACAGCAUGAGCGAACAAACGACACAUUUUGCUUUCUAGUUCUAGCACAGCCUGUGCUCUCAUAAAAAAUAUUCUACCAGUAAGCAAAAACGUGAACAACAAAGAUGCAAUAACUUUUCUCACUCCUAUUUUGUCCUCUCACCUUCUGUCAACAUCCAGAGAAGUGGAACAUUCUCCGUAAUUUAAAAAAAUAAUACAUUUCCCUGUGUGCCUCCUUCCAUUGAACAGGAGGACAUCAGAGGAGCUCAGCUGUCUCCUUGAAUUUGUCAGCAAAUUAAGGACAUCAGUAUUAUGAAAAUGUCCAAACUCAAUGAAAAGUUAAUUAGCAUUCUGAGGAGUCACUUCAAUUAAGGGGAACUUGUUUUGUUGGCCUCACUAGAGAAAUGUGGACUAAGACAGGAAUAUAAAUGUGACAAUAUUUUAUAAUGAUUUAAUGUGACAAUCUCCCUAUUUGCAAAUAGCCCAGCAGAGUCACAGUUUAACAUCAAUUCAUAAAAAGCAAGUUCAAAAACAAGUCAUAACAAUUUACAGGAUGUUUUUCAAUUAUCUGACGAAGGACACAUGGAGAUUUCUUACAUGAUUUCAUUUUUCUAUGUGACUCCAUGCAUUACAUUGUUCUAAACAAUUUGUUGUUUGAAUUUUUCAAUUCCUGUUUGGUAUGUUUGCUGAAGUCUACCAAGAAGCUCCAGCAAAGUUUCCAUUGCCUUCCAAACCUCUCCAGGUGGGCUUUCAAUUUCCCACUGAUGGGAUAAACAUGCUGAGUAUUUUCAGCUGGGUCUCAGACAAAACCAACCAAAAUCAAGUCCUUAAGGCUCUGAUUCUCAGAGCACUUAAUACUAAUAACUGCACCUGAACCUGGUUGUAGUUGUUGGGGGUAGUAUCCCUAUAAACUUGAAAAGUACCCUCUUCUUGGUGAGGUUGGUGCUUGGAUCCAUGGAGCUGUUUGGAGAAGUGAGAACUUCACACCACUUUACAGGCAUCAUUACCCUGAUAUUUAAUUUAGAGAGAGAGAGAGAGGAAAAGAACAUUUCAUGCUGGCAGGUCUGGCCAGGAACCAUCCUCCUCACUGCUUCAGCCUCUCUGUGCCAGGAGAAGGAACGCUCCGUGCCACAUCCCCAGUGGAAGCAUGAAGUGCUGCAAGGCUGCUCUGCAAACCAAGCGCACAAGGAGUGCACCACCAAACAGGGAAGAGAAAAAAGUUAGAAAAGAGAAGAAUUGACACCACAUAGGAUAAAGGAGUUGAGUAGUGAGGAAAAGAGAGGGAACAUGUGGAACUCUACUACCUCAGCCACCACGUUGGCAUUUAGAAGAAAAGACUGUUCACAUGAAGUCAGCCCCUGCAAUGAGUACGGAGAAGACAACACCAUGUUCUUAGGCUGAGAAGUGCUUGAAUAAAUGGCAUCAUUUAAAAAAAGAGUCUCUUUUGUCUAUAAUAAAAUAUUAAUUCAA